GAUGAACGCUGGCGGCGUGCCUAAUACAUGCAAGUCGAGCGAACGGACGAGAAGCUUGCUUCUCUGAUGUUAGCGGCGGACGGGUGAGUAACACGUGGAUAACCUACCUAUAAGACUGGGAUAACUUCGGGAAACCGUAGCUAAUACCGGAUAAUAUUUUGAACCGCAUGGUUCAAAAGUGAAAGACGGUCUUGCUGUCACUUAUAGAUGGAUCCGCGCUGCAUUAGCUAGUUGGUACGGUAACGGCUUACCAAGGCAACGAUGCAUAGCCGACCUGAGAGGGUGAUCGGCCACACGAGAACUGAGACACGGUCCAUACUCCUACGGGAGGCAGCAGAAGGGAAUCGUACGCAAUGGGCGAAAGCCUGACGGAGCAACGCGGCGUGAGUGAUGAAGGUCUUCGGAUCGUAAAACUCUGUUAUUAGGGAAGAACAGAUGUGUAAGUAACUGUGCACAUCUUGACGGUACCUAAUCAGAAAGCCACGGCUAACUACGUG
rnacentral:rRNA from 1 species